rnacentral:rRNA from 1 species
AUACGAACCGUACGAACGUUAUUCGGAAUCACUGGGCUUAAAGAGUGCGUAGGCGGCUUGGUAAGUUGGAUGUGAAAUCCCUCGGCUCAACCGGGGAACUGCGUUCAAUACUGCCAAGCUUGAGGGAGAUAGGGGUGAGCGGAACUAAUGGUGGAGCGGUGAAAUGCGUUGAUAUCAUUAGGAACACCGGAGGCGAAAGCGGCUCACUGGGUCUCUUCUGACGCUGAGGCACGAAAGCUAGGGGAGCGAACGGGAUUAGAAACCCCAGUAGUCC